UACGUAGGGUGCAAGCGUUGUCCGGAAUUAUUGGGCGUAAAGAGCUCGUAGGCGGUUUGUCGCGUCUGCUGUGAAAACGCGAGGCUCAACCUCGCGCCUGCAGUGGGUACGGGCAGACUAGAGUGCGGUAGGGGAGAUUGGAAUUCCUGGUGUAGCGGUGGAAUGCGCAGAUAUCAGGAGGAACACCGGUGGCGAAGGCGGUCUCUGGGCCGAUGACUGCGCUGAGGAGCGAAAGCAUGGGUAGCGAACAGG
rnacentral:rRNA from 1 species